CCUACGGGUGGCAGCAGUAGGGAAUAUUGGACAAUGGGGGAAACCCUGAUCCAGCCAUGCCGCGUGAGUGAUGAAGGCCUUAGGGUUGUAAAGCUCUUUUAGCAGGGAAGCGGUACCUGCAGAAAAAGCCCCGGCUAACUUCGUGCCAGCAGCCGCGGUAAUACGAAGGGGGCUAGCGUUGCUCGGAAUUACUGGGCGUAAAGCGCACGUAGGCGGCUUUCUAAGUCAGGGGUGAAAUCCUGGAGCUCAACUCCAGAACUGCCUUUGAUACUGGAAAGCUCGAGUCCGGGAGAGGUGAGUGGAACUGCGAGUGUAGAGGUGAAAUUCGUAGAUAUUCGCAAGAACACCAGUGGCGAAGGCGGCUCACUGGCCCGGACUGACGCUGAGGUGCGAAAGCGUGGGGAGCAAACAGGAUUAGAUACCCUUGUAGUC
rnacentral:rRNA from 1 species